GUACACGCUGUGACUAGCAUAUCAAUAAGCGGAGGAAAAGGAAACUAACAAGGAUUCCCCUAGUAACGGCGAGUGAAGCGGGAAGAGCUCAAAUUUGAAAUCUUAAAGGGUUUCCCUUUACGAAUUGUAGUUUAAAGAAGUGUUUUCUGUUGAGGUUUUGGUAAAAGUUCUUUAGAAUAGGACAUCAUAGAGGGUGAGAAUCCCGUAUUUGACCUUUACUUUCAACUUUGUGAUACACUUUCAAAGAGUCGGAUUGUUUGGGAAUGCAGUCCAAAAUGGGUGGUAAAUUUCAUCUAAAGCUAAAUAUUGGCGAGAGACCGAUAGCGGACAAGUACCGUGAGGGAAAGAUGAAAAGAACUUUGAAAAGAGAGUUAAACAGUACGUGAAAUUGUCAAAAGGGAAGCGUUUGACACCAGUGUUGUUUUUCUGAAAAUCAAUUAAAGAACUGUUUAUGCUAAGCUGUUUAGACUUUAUCAGCUAUCUGUUUAGUUUUGAGCUUUUCUUUAAUGCACUUUUCAGUUAACAAGUCAACAUCAAUUUCUUUUGCUGUAAAAAAGCUUGAGGAAGGUGGCUUGAGAUUCGUCUUAAGUGUUUAUAGCCUCUUGCCUAUGCAGUCGGAGAGAUUGAGGUCUGCAGCGUAGAUCCUUCGGGGCUAAAUGCAUUUGUGCUAAGUUAUAGCAUUUUAUAGACAACUUGUUGACUAUGAUUUGUCUUGUAGCUUACUCGCUUAUGUUAUUUUACCUACGCUUAGGAUGUUGACGCGCGUGUGUGCGUG
rnacentral:rRNA from 1 species